CAUCUUGGGUAAUCUGCAAUGCCAAUUCUCUGCGUUUUGCUCCAGCGAGAGUCACAUGAAAUGAGCUUCAGUCCCACUGAAAUAGAGUCUGAAGGAUGCAAAUAGACAGAGCUGAGGCUUUGGAAAUGGAAAUAAAGAGAAGUUGGAACAGAUGGAAAACAUACAGAAGUGUGUGACUAUGGAGUUCUGAAGAGGAUGGGCGGUUUGUUCGGAGGCUGAAGGGGCAGUGAAUGAAGGCUGAGAGUGAUUUGGAGGCCUGACUCUGUGAAGUAUUUCGAUGCCAAAGAAAUCUGAGGAAAAAAACAAAAGAACCACUCUGGCGAGAGGUCCACUUCCAGAGCAUUUCCAGUUGUAAGAAUCAUUCCCACAGCAGGUCAUUAAGUGGAGACCUGCUUCUAAGCAUGAAUCUUCUCCUUCCUCUGCUUUGGUCUGCCAUCUGUCAUUGAAAGAAAUUAGGAAAGCAUAGAAAAAUACAAUGACGUGACCAUUGGUGUCAUAUCGUCAGGUUUUCUUCCCAUCUUUUGCUGAUGUACUUCUCAAACAGUGGGCAUUUUUUUUUGUAUAUAAGAGUCUAUAUUCUACUUUCUGCUAAACCUUGUACAAUGUUCCCAUUCAUUUAAAAUUCUUUAUAAAAUGCCUUUUAAUGCUGAACAAUGU